CUUUUAAAUUAUUUCCAAAAGAUUAAUUAAUCCUGUUAAUUUUUUUUAUUGAGUACAUUAAAUGAAAAACAUGACAAAACAUAUGUUUCAGGAUAUACGGAUAAUCAGAAAAGCUGUGGAGAUUUUGUAAUAAAGGAAGAAAAAUUAGAUCACGAAGAGGAGUUUGAUAAUUCAAAGGAAGAUUUCAAAUGGAAACAAUCGGUCGUACAACUGUUGAAGAAGUACAAAUGCACCAACUGCCCGAGGAAGUACGCAAGAAUUGGAACGCUGAAACGUCACUUACGCUUCGAGUGUGGCCAAGAGAGACGCUUCGCAUGUCAGAUCUGCUUCAAGACAUUUUUUAGAAAGGACGUUUUGAGACAGCACAUGGCCGUUCAUACAUGAUUUUCGUUUUGUGCCUGUUCUAUGAAAAUCGUGCAAUUAUUUACAUGUCAAAAAAUUAAAAAUAAUUUUCAUAUUUGUUAAAACUGAUUGAGAAUAUCAUCGACAAUACAAAUAUGAUAAAACA